rnacentral:rRNA from 1 species
AUGGUUACCAAGUCCUCCUCGGCGGUGGUAAUUCACGCCGGCGAGCACCUGUUCAAGGUCAUCGGCCACUCCACGAUCACGGGCAAGAUUACGCUCACUUCCGACACUUUCCGCGUUGCUGACCACGACUGGGCUAUCCUGUACUACCCGAACGGCGACGCUAGGGUCGUCGACGAUCAGUUCAGUUCGAUUUUCCUUAAGCUGGUGAACGCCGGCGAGGAUGAGAUCACGGUCUGCUAUUCCUUCUGUCUCCAGGACCCCGCUGCGCCGGCGACAGGGGAAAAGCACAUAUACCAAAGCGGAUCCCAGAAGUUCUCAUCCACAAAUUCGGCCUGGGGUAGGAGCAAUUUUGUGAGUAAAGCCGAUUUGUCCGGGUGCCUCGACGAUGGCUGCCUAGUGAUCAAGUGCACCGUCGAGGUCCCAAGACUGAUGGACGACCGACAGGAGGGCGAUGAUAACGACGGCGUCAUCGUGCCGCCCGCAGACCUAAGCAAAGAUCUGGCUAAUCUUCUAGACAGCGGGCUCAAGGCGGACCUGACCGUCAAGAUUGGUUGGUUCAAGAGAUUCAAGGUGCACGCGUGCGUGCUCGCUGCGCGAUCGCCCGUCUUCCGAGCCCAGCUGUGCGGCGCCAUGAUGGAGAGCAGAGAAAGCAGCAUCCGCAUCGAGGACGUGGAUGCCAAGGUUUUCGAGAUCCUGCUGCAUUACGUGUACAAUGAUCGUCUGCCGGAGUCUAUGGACGAGACAACGGAGGAGACCACAAACAUGGCGCAACAUUUGCUUAUCGCGGCCGAUCGUUACGCAAUGGAAAGGCUAAAGCUGAUAUGCGAGAGCAGGCUGAGCAAGGCGCUGGAUAUCAACACGGUGGGUUUCACCUUGGAUCUUGCAGAGCAAUACCAUUGUCAGCAGCUCAAGGAUUGUUGUCUCAGGUAUAUGACAAGAAACAGCAAGAGAUUACAAGAAAUCAUAAACAGCGAGGGGUUUGCUCAACUAACGCGAAACCACCCACAGGCCGCAUUCGAUAUUCUUGGACAAGUUAUUGCCUUACUGGCAACUUAG